UACGAAGGGGGCAAGCGUUGUUCGGAAUUACUGGGCGUAAAGGGCGCGUAGGCGGCUUACCAAGUCAGGCGUGAAAUUCCCGGGCUCAACCUGGGGGCUGCGCUUGAUACUGGUGAGCUUGAAUGCGGGAGAGGAUAGUGGAAUUCCCAGUGUAGAGGUGAAAUUCGUAGAUAUUGGGAAGAACACCGGUGGCGAAGGCGGCUAUCUGGCCCGUAAUUGACGCUGAGGCGCAAAAGCGUGGGGAGCAAACAGG
rnacentral:rRNA from 1 species